CUCUCGACUGCAGGAGCUUGAAGAGAGCAGACAUGAUUUUUGUAACGCUGCAAAGACAGAAAUAAAGGAAUGUAAAUACGUUUCUGUCUAUCUCUCCCCUGCCAAGGGGGCAGGAAAGAGGGGGGGGGUGUUCUUCUCACGCUGAGGAGGAUCGCCUAUCGCGACCUAGCCUGGAUCCUGCCGGGAAUGCAGACAGGGAGGUCAACAGGAGAUCAAGCCGGGUGCCUGGAGAGUGGCCAGUUUCUCCUGAUAAAGGCUUGAAUCCCAACAUAUGGUAGCAUUGAGCCGAUGGUUUCGAUCCAUGAAAGCAACAAGAGAGGUUGAUGGAUCGUACUUCAUCCUCUGCAAGGAGAUAAAGAAAGAAUGUGGUAGCGGGCGGAUGGAAGCUACAAGGACGGCUGAGCACCGGAGGAGGUGUUUUUGCUGAGCAACGGAUUCCCUCAAGGUAUGGUGAUUUUAUGGCUGUGAGAGUGAACGCGAAUUGAAGCAUUCUUCGGUUCACUGAGUGUCUGCUUUUGGAUGAAACCAGCACUGAAAGAGAGCCACAUAUUUCGCAUACCUGAGUCUUGAUAAGCCUGGAAUGUCCAGUUGCUAAGCAACGAAACGUCAGUAUAGUGGAAAGUUACUGGCCAACAACGGAAGUAAGGCUGGGACUGUGAGAGGCUGGUAAACAGAGUUUGUUUUGUCUAUUAUCUCACUGCUCUUGGAGGGACUUUCAAAAACAGCCUGCGUUUAGCUGCCAAGUGUGAGGCAGUAAACAGCCAAUAGACUCUUGGAAUUUUACAGGCUUGAGAGUGAGAGCUGAGGCUUGGAUUCAAAAUGGAUGCCAGGAAGGGGGGAGGCUUACCUUACCCACCUCCACUGACUAAUGACAAUUAUUCCUCAUGGUCUGUAAAGAUGAAAGCCCUGCUUCAGAAUCAGAGGAUUUUUGGGGUGAUUGAUAACCCCAUCCCUGCUGCACCAACGCCAGGUUGGAAUUCACAGAAUGUGAGAGCCAGGACGGCCAUAAUUCUGUGUAUCUCAGAUGGUCAACUUGUGCAUAUUCAGGAUUUGGAAUACGCGCGUGAGAUUUGGGAAACGCUGCGUAGAAUACAUCAAAGAGAUGCUGGUUCUUCAGCGUUGCUGCAUUUUGAAAAGCUAACCAAUCUAAGGCUAACGCCUGAUGGAGAUGUACAAGCGCAUCUGACAGAGAUGAAAUUCUUACGCCAGCAGAUGGCGGAACGCAAUUUCCCUCUACAGGAAGAGAUAUUCUGCUUCAUGAUUAUUAACAGCCUUAAUCGGACUUAUAAAACGGUUGCAAGUCAGCUUGGUUCUCUACCUGCCGCAGAUCUUUCGACGGAGAGAAUUUGUGCCGUGAUUCUCAAUGAGAAAGACAGACUUGCUGCAAUAGAUGUCAAAGACAGGGGGAGAGAAGCUCGGAGUUCUGACACCCCCGCUGCUAUUGCUAGUGAAGAACAGGCUGUUGCUUUGAACGUUGUCUGUUGUUUCAAUUGUGGACAGACUGGGCAUCUUCAGCGGAAUUGUAAGAAGCCACAUCAACAGAAAGGAGCUAAGGGGAGCUCUGCAAAGCCUGAGGCAUCAGGCAAAAGUCGUACCAAGUCCCAGGUGAAACCUGCAAAGGCAUUGCUGUCAACAAAAGCCACAUUUUCAAUGGAGAACGCUUUUAUUUUGGACACUGGAGCGACGCAACACAUGACGUCGCGGCAAGAUCUGUUUUCAACGUUUAAGAAGCAAAGCUUCACUGUGAAACAAGCCAACGGUCAGGAGCUGGAAGCGACUGGGUUUGGAACUGUGUAUCUUGAGAGUCUGAACUUGACUAUUAACAAUGUGUAUUUGGUUCCUGAUUUAAAGUUCAAUCUGCUGAGUGUUUCGCAGAUCACAAAGAAAGGACUGACUUUGUCCUAUGAUAGAGAAAGCUGCAAAAUCUUCAAGGAUGGAGAGCUGUAUCUUUCUGCCAGAGAGAAAGAUGGACUGUAUUUGUUGACUUUUGAUCAAAGUGAUUGCAUAAAUUGUAAUGCGUCUGCGUCUAACAUGAUUUCUCUCGCAGGUGUGUCGAAAAACGUCCAGAAGACGACGCAAGUAACCAAAGCUUUUCAGCGAGUGUAUGCUGAUGUGAUUGGUCCUCUAGCACCGUCUAGAGGCAAUGCAAGAUAUUAUCUUGUGUGUGUGGAUUAUUUCUCUCAUUAUGUAUGGGUAUAUAUAUUGCAGAAACCACAAGAAGCCUUAGAAAGGUUUAAACAGUUUUGUGACAAGGUUAAGAAUGUUCAUAAUGCUAACAUUGAUUGUCUUUUCACAGAUGAAAAGCCAGUUUUUCUUUUGCAGGAUUUUCAGGAUUUCCUGGACAAGAAAGGGAUAAGGCACAAGACUGCUGUUUCAGCAGAUGCAUGGAACAAAAGUGUCUGUGUGCAAGUGAACAAAGAAUUGCAAAAUGGCAUGAAGGCACAAUUGCUGAGUUCACAAUUGCCACAUGAGUAUUGGGCGGAGUCGAUAUUGUGUUAUUGUUACAGUUGGGUGAGAAAGGUUUCAAAAGGUUUAGGAAGUUCUCCUUUUGAAAAGCUAUUCCACAGAAAACCUUCUGUUGCCCAUUUUAAGGUUUUUGGGUCUCAUGUGAAGACUGAAGCUCCAGGUGGAGUAAAGAAUGCUAGAGGCAUUUUUGUGGGUUAUGAAAAGGGUCUCUACAGAGUAAUUUUGUCUGAAUCUGGUCAGGUGAUUCUCACAAAAUUUCUAGAGAGUGCUCCUGAACAGGAGAGAGUAAUUGUUCACACAUUUCCCACUGAGGACGAUUCAGAUGAUGAUGAUGAUUUUACUGAUUACAGUGGUACUGAGAGUGACAGUACUAGCUCAAAGAGCUCAGUUGACACAGUCAUUGAGAGGAAAUCUCACACAAUGGAUAGACCUUCACAGGUGAAGGAUGAACCACUGUUUACUAUUGGAACUGGUUCUCCAAAGAGUCCUGAGACUGAACCAGUGAGCAGAGAGGAUCAGCACCUCAUACGCAGGUCUGAGAGAGUUACAAAGGGUGUACCACCCAAGAAGUAUUCAAAAGAGUUUGCUAACUCAGCUGUAGCAUGUGUUACUAUUGCUGACAACUCAAGACAGGUUGAAGCUGUGUCUAAGUCAGAGACAAAGACACAACAGAGAGUUGCUAAGCGUAACACUACAUUCCCUAGCCAAGGAAAUGCAGAUGCACUCAUUCCUUGGAAGACAGACAACCAGAGAGGUACACUGGGGAAACCAGUGGCGGGUAGUUCCAAGGUUGGAACUGAAACAACAGGGGAGUGUUAUAUGUAUAACAACUGUUUGUUUUCUUCUCUGGAUCACGCUUUGCUCGCAGCGCACAUUGAUUCAUAUGGGGGAGUAUGUUACGAUAUAGAAGCAAUGCGGCCGCGAGCUGAUAGCUUGAAAGCAAAACAUAAUGGGAAUGUUGGGACUGUUCCGUGGGAAACAGAGGGACAGUCAAUUCACAGUGCAGAGGGCACCGGAAUUAGCUCAGAGUGUAAUAUGAGCUGUACAGGAAGUACAGGAGGAGUUUGUCUCUCGACUGCAGGAGCUUGAAGAGAGCAGACAUGAUUUUUGUAACGCUGCAAAGACAGAAAUAAAGG
rnacentral:lncRNA from 1 species